AAUAACCGCUAGGGGUGCCCAGGGCUGAGAUGUCCCGGUUCCUUCGGGACGACCCUUGGAACCUGAACUCGGUAAUGCGAGCGCAGGGAAGCGGCCGGGAGAUGAG
rnacentral:ncRNA from 2 species